GGAAGGGACUAGCGACCGGGCUGAGGUAGCCGCGGCCCUGCCCGGCGGCGAAUCGCAAGCACGGCUAAGCAUGUAGAGCUGGAAGUCGAGCGUUAUCGGACGGGGGUUCGAUUCCCCCCGCCUCCACCA
rnacentral:tmRNA from 1 species